CCAUCGGAUUCCCAUACAAACACUGUAAUUUCUGACUGCUUUGCCUACCCGUCAAGAUGGUGUCAAAAACUGUGAUAAGGUCUAUUAGUGCGCACAACAGGGUUCUCCUCCCAGUAUUCUGUAACAGAAAUUGAAACUCAGAAGUGACUUUAUAAGAUAUUGGUCUAGUUAGCUUAUGUUGGACUAUGAUGUUAUUAAGUUUAUUCAUAGAAAAUAGCCAGGGUAAGGGUGUCAUUGUCCCAGUGGCACACCCCCACCCUCAGAUUAACAGAGUAGCCCCUCCCCAGAGUUAAACCAAAACAUUCACAGAAUAGUUCGCAAAUUAACUGGUUGAAAAACUGUCCUAUCUUGUAGUUAGCUUGAACAAUUUUAUGUUACAUUCAUGUAGGUCUUGUAUUUGCUUUCAGUAACCCUCGUUUCUCUGUUGCUGACGUACAUCAUUACUACAGCAAUUUUUAUAAUCUUUUUGAGAAAAAGAGUCUGGGAUUAUGCCAUAACAAUAGGAUUUGUUCAUCUUUUACUGUCCUGUGCUGUUAUGCAGUCCUUCCCGACAAAUUGGCAAUGGUGGAUUGCCUUUUUAUCAUCUGUACUUUUCAUGGCUGUGUUUGGAGAGUUGGUGAUCCGAUGCUGCAAUAUGAAAAAUGGUGCUGCCAGUGUCAGUCCAGAAACAAAUGUGAUAACAUGAUAGUUUAAAAACAGUGCCAUGGAUGUGAGAAGAUAAUCUAUUAAUAUCAAAAAUUAUCAUUAUUACUGCGCCUCUCAAUAACAUGCGUGCUAUAAAAUUCAAAGCUCAACCGACAAAUGUGUUUUUCGCUACCAUCAAUCAAAUGUUUGGCGGCUCCUCCAAGCUUCCCACUACUGCCGAGCACUGUUUCAUUGUCUGGACUGUGCUCAACGAUUUGAUUACGGCAUGCUUGGCAGUAAUCGGAAGCCGGGAGGAGCUGCUGAACAUUUGAUUGACGGUAGUGAAAAACGCAUUUGUCAGUUGAGCUUUGAAUUUAAUAGUACGCAUGUUAUUGAAAGGUGCAGUAAUAAAUGAAAAAUUAUAUGCUAGCUAACAAACUAGCUAAAUAUUUUUUAAAAGAUGGAAAGCGCUUUAUUUUCUGAUAAGAGCAAAAGCUAAUAAUAAUAAUAUUGUAAAGUUGUCUAAUAACAUGACAAGAACACUUUUAAAAUAUUCUCAGUGUAUUUAGUUUAUUAGGCUUACAGUAGAGGUUAUGUUAUAUUGCCUGACAAUGUAAAUAAGAUUCAGUUGUAAAUAACUGUAAAUAAACUAAUAAAAGGAAUUUAGAGUUGGUAUGUAGUCAAACAAUCUCAGAUUACUAUAUUCUGAUCACAAAUAGGUUGCUACCAGAAAGUUGUGUCACUCUAGGAUUUGGCAUGGCUUAAAUGCUUAUGAGAAAGAAAAAUAUUAUAUGAUAAUAUAAAGGUAAAUCCCUUUUGUAUUAUUUUAGUCAGUGAUAUUUGACAAUGCAAUAUGUUUUGCUUUUUCACUAUUACUGACUAGUAAUUAACAGUCAUUUAUAGCAAGGAGUUUGGAGAGCACUCAAGAGUUGCUCUUGGCAAGUUCAUCAUAACUCAGCAGUGCAUAGCUAAAAGCAUGAACCAUUUAAUAACAUUGCCGGUGGAAAUGUAUAUCAAAACUCACUCCAAAAAAAUCUAAAACAACAUCUAUUGCAACAUCACCAUGUGAUAAACAAUAAUUUUGGCACGGUGACUUGCUCCUGUUAUCAGCUUGCACUAUUGGAUAAUGGUGCAUGUUUACAUACACUGAACUUGGUUGUGUGGUUGUACUAGCUGUGUUAUGAAAUUAAUUUGUAUUUUUUAAAACUAAGGGCUUGAGAAAUUUGCCUGUUUGAUCAUCUUAGCUGGGCUUUCAAAAUGUUUUGGUUAGCAUGUUUUGUCCAGUAAGCUGUACAUAAGAUUUCUCUUUUCCUUUUGUGAAGAUCGGAUACCAGAAAGAUGACAUGAACACAUUUUUAUAGUCUAAAUAAGGCUUGGAAGACAGGAUGAAAGUUAGCUCAAGGAAACUACUUAUCAUGUGUGGAUGGAAUUACAAUGGACAUGUAAUGUCUGUAACAUGACCACACAUUAUUCUUAGUGUGAUAAAGUACAAUGAUUUGAAUCAAAACCAAUUUUGUGCUGUAAUAUUGUUUGGUGAAUUAAGCUUCCUUCGUGUAGCCGUAGAUGUUCACUUUUUUUGACGGUAUUAUAUUUUAGCUAGUCAAGGGUUUUUCUUCAUCAUGCCUCCUUGAGGUAUGAAGAAGAGAGACCUGGGAAAUUAGGCUGGAAACAAGGCUGUAGGGCAGAUUUUGGUUAUUUAUUUUUUACAGACCAGCCUCUUUUUUAACAGUAAUAAAAAUGCUGGUAUAGUGGGGCAGUUUUUUAGUCACUGGAUAUAUAUACAGAAUUCUACAGUAACCAAGUUUCCAAGACCCUGAUAUUGUAACUUGCGGUGCAUUUAUAAUAAAAUCUUCGUUAUCUUUCA